UACGAAGGGGGCUAGCGUUGCUCGGAAUGACUGGGCGUAAAGGGCGCGUAGGCGGAGUGCUUUGUCGGGCGUGAAAUUCCAGGGCUCAACCUUGGGGCUGCGUUCGAGACGGGCAUUCUAGAGUGGAGAAGAGGGUCGUGGAAUUCCCAGUGUAGAGGUGAAAUUCGUAGAUAUUGGGAAGAACACCGGUGGCGAAGGCGGCGACCUGGUCUUUUACUGACGCUGAGGCGCGAAAGCGUGGGA
rnacentral:rRNA from 1 species